rnacentral:rRNA from 1 species
CAAGUAGGCGGUUUGAUAAGUCCGUUGUUAAAAGCCCCUGGCUCAACUGGGGGAGGUCAAUGGAGACUGUCAGACUUGAGGGCAACAGAGGCACGUGGAACUCCCGGUGUAGCGGUGGAAUGCGUAGAGAUCGGGAAGAACACCCGUGGCGAAGGCGACGUGCUGGGUUGCCCCUGACGCUGAGUUGCGAAAGUGUGGGGAGCAAACGG